CAUAUCGGAACGUGCCCAGUAAUGGGGGAUAGCUCGGCGAAAGCCGGAUUAAUACCGCAUAUUUCCUGAGGGAGAAAGCGGGGGACCUUCGGGCCUCGCGCUACUGGAGCGGCUGAUGUCGGAUUAGCUAGUUGGUGGGGUAAAGGCCUACCAAGGCGACGAUCCGUAGCUGGUCUGAGAGGAUGAUCAGCCACACUGGGACUGAGACACGGCCCAGACUCCUACGGGAGGCAGCAGUGGGGAAUUUUGGACAAUGGGCGCAAGCCUGAUCCAGCCAUGCCGCGUGAGUGAAGAAGGCCUUCGGGUUGUAAAGCUCUUUCGCGAGGGAAGAAAAGGGGCGCUCUAACAUAGCGCUCUGCUGACGGUACCUUGAGAAGAAGCACCGGCUAACUACGUG
rnacentral:rRNA from 1 species